rnacentral:ncRNA from 2 species
AGGAGCCGUAUGCGGUAGUUCCGCACGUACGGAUCUGUGCGGGGGGGGGAGGGGGGACAGGUAACUGCCAUCCCUACCGCGAC